rnacentral:misc_RNA from 1 species
CAAAUGUCAAAGAAAUUCAAAGCCAACGCUACAUGUGUUUUGUAGUAAGAAAAACGAAGUGUCCUUAAAAAUGUAGCGAUUUGCAAUUGUAUUGUUGAAAUAUAUUGCUUUCUAAAACAUGCAAGUAUGGGUAGCUGUCCAGGAUGGGUAAAAAACGUCAACAUAGAAAGCAAGAUUGAACAUGUUCAUCUAAUGGCGCCUCAAGUUGUUUUUAAGAUAUAAAUGGCCAGCAAAGUGGGUACUGUUAAUGUUUAUCAUCAUUUUAAUUGACGUUCUUCAGUGUAGAAGUUCAUACUAGUAGUGAAUGUACUACAUAUUAAGUUCUGUUAAAUGCGUGACCUUGAUAUCCUUUUGUAUCAAAAAUGUAUUUUAAGUGGUGCAUUUUGGUAGUUGCAAACUAAUCUGCAAUUGCCAAAUAUUGUACACUAAUUAUUCCUGAUUGCAUAAGUUUUGAUGCAUUUAUUCAUUUUGUCUAUAUGUUCUCACUAACCUGAAGUAAUUUAUUGAGUAGAUUUUUGGUACCUCAGUCUAAGCAGCUCAGCUAUUCUACUUUCUGGCAAAUUGUUAAGACUAUUUUUUUGUCUCAUAGUUUCCCACCUGGGCAAUGUUUUGGCACAUUUUGUGAUCUUUAAUAUGGAAGUAUAAUUAUACAUUUAAUUUGUACAACAUUCAUAUAAACAGAAAUUGCACAUAGGGAUGAGGCAAAAAGAAUUUUAUUGUGUUUGUGUCUUCUGUUAAUAUAUCUCGAUUGCAUUUGAAUAUUGGUUGAAAAAUAACUUUCAAAUGUUGGGCUACUUUUAACCGUAAUUUGUUCCUACAGGAUGAAUGUGCCAGUGGUCAGUCAUCCUAAGGCUGCAUGAAUUUCCUAUUUUAUAUAAAAAGGUAUUAACUGGAAUGUCCUAAAAAUUAUGAAAUAUUUUUAAACUUAAAGAAUUAGACUGAAUAAAUAGUUUUUUCAAUAUCUAGAAUUUAUUUUUUUAAAAAAUGUGCAGGAUACAGUCAGUACAGUGGUAUUUUCUGAAAUGCCAAAAUAACUAAAACCUUAGUAGUAUCUGUUGAUUAUUAGGCCUUAAAUAAAUAAUUAACAUA